CCUACGGGAGGCAGCAGUGGGGAAUUUUGGACAAUGGGCGCAAGCCUGAUCCAGCAAUGCCGCGUGAGUGAAGAAGGCCUUCGGGUUGUAAAGCUCUUUUGUCAGGGAAGAAACGGUGUUUUCUAAUACAGAAUGCUAAUGACGGUACCUGAAGAAUAAGCACCGGCUAACUACGUGCCAGCAGCCGCGGUAAUACGUAGGGUGCAAGCGUUAAUCGGAAUUACUGGGCGUAAAGCGUGCGCAGGCGGUUUUGUAAGUCUGUCGUGAAAUCCCCGGGCUCAACCUGGGAAUGGCGAUGGAGACUGCAAGGCUAGAAUCUGGCAGAGGGGGGUAGAAUUCCACGUGUAGCAGUGAAAUGCGUAGAUAUAUGGAGGAACACCGAUGGCGAAGGCAGCCCCCUGGGCUAAGAUUGACGCUCAUGCACGAAAGCGUGGGGAGCAAACAGGAUUAGAUACCCUGGUAGUCCACGCCCUAAACGAUGUCUACUAGUUGUCGGGUCUUAAUUGACUUGGUAACGCAGCUAACGCGUGAAGUAGACCGCCUGGGGAGUACGGUCGCAAGNUUAAAACUCGAAANAGAGUAGAGNGNGAGAGNGCGAGACGACGACGAGGGAGAGG
rnacentral:rRNA from 1 species